UCUUUUCCUUUUGUGCCCGCCGCCGCGGUAAUACGUAUGGUGCAAGCGUUAUCCGGAUUUACUGGGUGUAAAGGGAGCGCAGGCGGUGCGGCAAGUCUGAUGUGAAAGCCCGGGGCUCAACCCCGGUACUGCAUUGGAAACUGUCGUACUAGAGUGUCGGAGGGGUAAGUGGAAUUCCUAGUGUAGCGGUGAAAUGCGUAGAUAUUAGGAGGAACACCAGUGGCGAAGGCGGCUUACUGGACGAUAACUGACGCUGAGGCUCGAAAGCGUGGGGAGCAAACAGG
rnacentral:rRNA from 1 species